rnacentral:rRNA from 1 species
UACGUAGGAGGCAAGCGUUGUCCGGAUUUACUGGGCGUAAAGCGCGCGCAGGCGGCAUGGCAAGUAAGGUGUGGAAAUCCUCCCUGCCUAACGGGGAGGGUGCAUUUUAGACUGCCAAGCUAGAGGACGGUAGAGGGGGGUAGAAUUGCUGGUGUAGCGGUGAAAUGCGUAGAGAUCAGCAGGAAUACCCGUGGCGAAGGCGGCCCCCUGGGCCGAACCUGGACGCUGAGGCG